rnacentral:lncRNA from 1 species
GAAGCUGUCGGAAUGAUCCUCUGAACUUGCAGCGUAGGAGCUCGGCACACACAGGCUUCUUGCAGAGAUCUGCAAAGAGCAACUGAUGUGAGCAUGCUCUCAUGACUCAGGAGUACCACCAAGCACCCAGAGCUCUUCCUGCUCUGCCAGGUCCCUUACUGGCAUCACCCCAGCCCUGCUCCAGACCCUGAUGGUCACCAAGAUGUUCAUUACUCUGUAAAAUAUUUCUGAGUGUUCAAGGUCUUCUGGACAGUGAUUGCAAGCUGGAGAGGACUUGAAGGACACUUUAGUUUUGUGUACACCUCAAGUUAAGGAGAGAGCUCUCACACCUAUGGGUGCACUGAGAAGACAGCCAGGACCAGGGCUCUGCAGCAGAUUACCAUUGGGAUGGUAACAUCCCAGUGCUCAUCAGCUUGAUACACAAUUUUAUUCACAAGUCAUUGGAGCAGUACUGAUGGAAAUGAGCUGAUGAAGGUUUAGUUUUAAGCCAUAUUUUAUUUAAGUUUUUUUUAGUAUUUGCGAGGAGAGGUUGCAA